rnacentral:ncRNA from 2 species
GACCUCUUUCGGGGCGGGGUGAGACUCCCCACCGGCGGUGACUCCGACAGGACAGCCCGCGAAGCCUGCUUAAAUCCAUGAACGCGCAGGCCCGAUCUGGUGAAACUCCAGAGCCGACGGUAAACCACGGACCGACCCCCAGGGGCGGCCCGCAAGUCCGGAUGGGAGAAAGGGGAA